UAUGUGAUCGUCUCUCGCAUAUCAAUAAGCGGAGGAAAAGAAACUAACAAGGAUUCCCCUAGUAACGGCGAGUGAAGCGGGGAAGAGCUCAAAUUUGAAAUCUUAAAGGGUUUCCCUUUACGAAUUGUAGUUUAAAGAAGUGUUUUCUGUUGAGGUUUUGGUAAAAGUUCUUUGGAAUAGGACAUCAUAGAGGGUGAGAAUCCCGUAUUUGACCUUUACUUUCAACUUUGUGAUACACUCUCAAAGAGUCGGAUUGUUUGGGAAUGCAGUCCAAAAUGGGUGGUAAAUUUCAUCUAAAGCUAAAUAUUGGCGAGAGACCGAUAGCGAACAAGUACCGUGAGGGAAAGAUGAAAAGAACUUUGAAAAGAGAGUUAAACAGUACGUGAAAUUGUCAAAAGGGAAGCGUUUGACACCAGUGUUGUUUUUCUGAAAAUCAAUUAAAGAACUGUUUAUGCUAAGUUGUUUAGACUUUAUCAGCUAACUGUUUAGUUUUGAGCUUUUCUUUAAUGCACUUUUCAGUUAACAAGUCAACAUCAAUUUCUUUUGCUGUAAAAAAGCUUGAGGAAGGUGGCUUGAGAUUCGUCUUAAGUGUUUAUAGCCUCUUGCCUAUGCAGUCGGAGAGAUUGAGGUCUGCAGCGUAGAUCCUUCGGGGCUAAAUGCAUUUGUGCUAAGUUAUAGCAUUUUAUAGACAACUUGUUGACUAUGAUUUGUCUUGUAGCUUACUCGCUUAUGUUAUUUUACCUACGCUUAGGAUGUUGAUCUACAGAGCGAGAGU
rnacentral:rRNA from 1 species